rnacentral:rRNA from 2 species
GCCUAUGAGACAGGGAUAACUCCGGGAAACCGGGGCUAAUACCGGAUAAUUCUUUUCUACACAUGUAGAAAAGCUGAAAGAUGGUUUCGGCUAUCACUCAUAGAUGGGGCCGCGGCGCAUUAGCUAGUUGGUGAGGUAACGGCUCACCAAGGCGACAAUACGUAGCCGACCUGAGAGGGUGAUCGGCCACACUGGGACUGAGACACGGCCCAGACUCCUACGGGAGGCAGCAGUAGGGAAUCUUCCGCAAUGGACAAAAGUCUGACGGAGCAACGCCCCGUGAGUGAUGAAGGUUUUCGGAUCGUAAAACUCUGUUGUUAGGGAAAAACAAGUACCGGAGUAACUGCCGGUACCUUGACGGUACCUAACCAGAAAGCCACGGCUAACUACAUGCCAGCAGCCGCGGUAAUACGUAGGUGGCAAGCGUUGUCCGGAAUUAUUGGGCGUAAAGCGCGCGCAGGUGGUCUCUUAAGUCUGAUGUGAAAGCCCCCGGCUCAACCGGGGAGGGUCAUUGGAAACUGGGAGACUUGAGUGCAGGAGAGAAGAGUGGAAUUCCACGUGUAGCGGUGAAAUGCGUAUAGAUGUGGAGGAACACCAGUGGCGAAAGCGACUCUCUGGCCUGUAACUGACACUGAGGCGCGAA